GUAUGGAGAUCCCAUUUGGAAUUAAGUCAACAUCAUUUUGGUCCCAGUGUAUCUGUAACCAAAAUGUAUUCAGGUACCAAAUAUCAAAAUUCAUUUCACUACCAGGUCAAAGACACAAUCAAAAGCCCGACAAAUGGAAUUUGUGGAAUUGGAACAAAAAGGCACAAGAACAUCAAAGCAUAAAUCCUUCAGGUAUCAGCAAUGACAUCACUUAAGAAUUUCUCAGAAUCUUUGGCACCACCCCAGGCCUACCGGAUCAGAAUCUGAAUUUUUUAACAAGAUCUCAGAUCUAGUCAAGAGUCCAGUCUGAUUUCUCUUUAUUGGGACUACCACCCAAAGCAGAAUGAGGAUGAUGUAACCACGCCCAGUGACUUCUGGAUACCACUGACUCUAGAUCCUGAAUUCCAGCAGAAUGGCUGACACCAACUGGUCUGAAGACCCUCACCAAGGAACUGACUCAGUGCAGGAAUGCAGUUUCUUCAUCUCCCUAUCCCUGACUUCACCCCUCACUUCUCAACCAAUCAGUGAUCACCACACUUUAGGCCAUCACCUGUGUCCAGACCCCUUAAAAACCCCAUCUGCAAACCUCUUGAAGAGGCAUAUUUGAGGUUUCCUCUCAUCUCCUCAUUUGGUUUCCCUACAAUUAUUAAAUUCUUUCUCUGCUGCAACUCCUACUUUUUCAGUGUAUUGGUCUGUUACUGUGCAACAGGAAAUCAGACCUGGUGGUCCUAUAGUAAGAGUUCACAGAAUAUGAUAUACAAAGUGAUCUGUGAUAUACAAAAACCGGCACAAUCUCACUCUUAAUAAGAAAAAUUCAACUUAAAAUUAAAAGUUUUUUUUCCUCAGAAUGGCAAAGAUCAAAGUUUGAUAACAUGGUUGGAAAGUAUGCAGACCGAUAUUCUCAUAUUCAUUGAUGAAGUGUAAAUUGAUACAUCCUUUGUCAGUACGGACAGGUUUCCCAACUCUAGGGGUGAAAUUUAUACAGACUACAGUGUGAAUGACAACCACUUCAAAUUGGGUGAUAUGAUGACCUUGACUCUGUGGAGGGUCAUUUGGCAAAAUAUCUCAAAAUAAAAAUGUACAUACAAUUUGA
rnacentral:lncRNA from 1 species